rnacentral:rRNA from 1 species
UGCCAGCAGCCGCGGUAACACGGGGGGCGCAAGCGUUAAUCGGAAUUACUGGGCGUAAAGCGCGCGUAGGUGGUUUGAUAAGCGAGAUGUGAAAGCCCCGGGCUUAACCUGGGAACGGCAUUUCGAACUGUCAGGCUAGAGUAUGGUAGAGGGUAGUGGAAUUUCCUGUGUAGCGGUGAAAUGCGUAGAUAUAGGAAGGAACACCAGUGGCGAAGGCGGCUACCUGGACUGAUAUUGACGCUGAGGUGCGAAAGCGUGGGGAGCAGACGGGAUUAGAUA